GCGGGUGUAGCUCAGUUGGUUAGAGCGCCAGAUUGUGGAUCUGGAUGUCGUCGGUUCAAAUCCGAUCACUCGCCCCA
rnacentral:tRNA from 1 species